AUGAUUAUCCUUGCCUGGAACUGCCGAGGCUUGGGGUUGGACUCGGCAGUUGGCGAGCUUCGGGGCUUGAUUAAGUCAUACAACCCAGAGGUGGUGUUCUUAUCAGAAACAAAGAAGAGAUUCGAAGCGAUGGAUAGACUCAAGUGGAGUUUGGGGUUGACCAAAGGGGUAGCGGUGGAUUGCAAUGGCAAGAGUGGAGGCUUAGCACUAUGGUGGAGGGACCAUAUUGAUGUUACAGUUAGGACGUGGUGCCAAUAUUACAUUGAUGCAGCUAUUGCAAGUGAGGGUGGCUCCUUUAGGUCCACUGGAAUCUAUGGAGAGCCAUGCAUUUAG
rnacentral:rRNA from 1 species